CAGCAGCCGCGGUAAAACCAGCACCUCGAGUGGUCAGGAGGUUUAUUGGGCCUAAAGCAUCCGUAGCCGGUUGCAUAAGUUUUCGGUUAAAUCUAUGCGCUUAACGUAUAGGCCGCCGAAAAUACUGUGCAGCUAGGGAGUGGGAGAGGUACACGGUACUCGAUAGGAAGGGGUAAAAUCCUUUGAUCUAUUGAUGACCACCUGUGGCGAAGGCGGUGUACCAGAACACGUUCGACGGUGAGGGAUGAAAGCUGGGGGAGCAAACCGGAUUAGAUACCCGAGUAGUCCCUGUCUCUUAUAA
rnacentral:rRNA from 1 species